AUCAACUGGUACCGGGGACCUCUAGAGAUUUCUGUUUGAUCCUGCCGGAGGUUACUGCUAUCGAGGUUCGACUAAGCCAUGCGAGUCGAAUGUAGCAAUACAUGGCGAACUGCUCAGUAACACGUGGACAACCUGCCCUUAGGACGGGGAUAAACCCGGGAAACUGGGUAUAAUACCCGAUAGGUCUCGAUUGCUGGAAUGCAUCGAGAUUUAAAGCUCCGGCGCCUAAGGAUGGGUCUGCGGCCUAUCAGGUAGUAGUGGGUGUAGCGUACCUACUAGCCUACGACGGGUACGGGUUGUGAGAGCAAGAGCCCGGAGAUGGAUUCUGAGACACGAAUCCAGGCCCUACGGGGUGCAGCAGGCGCGAAAACUUUACAAUGCUGGCAACAGCGAUAAGGGAACCUCGAGUGCCAGGUUACAAAUCUGGCUGUCGAGAUGCCUAAAAAGCAUUUCAUAGCAAGGGCCGGGCAAGACCGGUGCCAGCCGCCGCGGUAACACCGGCGGCUCGAGUGGUAACCGUUAUUAUUGGGUCUAAAGGGUCUGUAGCCGGCCGGAUAAGUCUCUUGAGAAAUCUGGCAGCUUAACUGUCAGGCUUUCAGGAGAUACUGUCUGGCUCGAGGCCGGGAGAGGUGAGAGGUACUUCAGGGGUAGGGGUGAAAUCUUGUAAUCCUUGAAGGACCACCAGUGGCGAAGGCGUCUCACCAGAACGGACCUGACGGCAAGGGACGAAAGCUAGGGGCACGAACCGGAUUAGAUACCCGGGUAGUCCUAGCCGUAAACGAUACUCGCUAGGUGUCGGCCACGGUGCGACCGUUGUCGGUGCCGUAGGGAAGCCGUGAAGCGAGCCACCUGGGAAGUACGGCCGCAAGGCUGAAACUUAAAGGAAUUGGCGGGGGAGCACCACAACGGGUGGAGCUUGCGGUUUAAUUGGAUUCAACGCCGGAAAUCUUACCGGGACCGACAGCAAUAUGAAGGCCAGGCUGAAGACUUUGCCGGAUUAGCUGAGAGGUGGUGCAUGGCCGUCGUCAGUUCGUACUGUGAAGCAUCCUGUUAAGUCAGGCAACGAGCGAGACCCAAAUCGUCGACUGCUGAACC
rnacentral:rRNA from 1 species